GGCACUAUAGCCAAGUGGUUAAGGCGACAGAUUAGAAUUUACAUUCAUCUGUUACUCUCUGAGUGCGCAGGUUCAAAUCCUGCUGGUGUCG